GCAGAGCACUCCUACGAGGCAGCAGUGGGGAAUAUUGCACAAUGGGCGCAAGCCUGAUGCAGCCAUGCCGCGUGUAUGAAGAAGGCCUUCGGGUUGUAAAGUACUUUCAGCAGUGAGGAAGGUGGGUAUGUUAAUAGCAUACUCAUUUGACGUUAGCUGCAGAAGAAGCACCGGCUAACUCCGUGCCAGCAGCCGCGGUAAUACGGAGGGUGCGAGCGUUAAUCGGAAUUACUGGGCGUAAAGCGCAUGCAGGUGGUUUGUUAAGUCAGAUGUGAAAGCCCGGGGCUCAACCUCGGAAUUGCAUUUGAAACUGGCAAACUAGAGUACUGUAGAGGGGGUAGAAUUUCAGGUGUAGCGGUGAAAAUGCGUAGAGAUCUGAAGGAAUACCGGUGGCGAAGGCGGCCCCCUGGACAGAUACUGACACUCAGAUGCGAAAGCGUGGGGAGCAAACAGGAUUAGAUCCCCUGGUAG
rnacentral:rRNA from 1 species